AUACGGGGGGUGCAAGCGUUAAUCGGAAUUACUGGGCGUAAAGCGCGCGUAGGCGGUUUGCUCAGUCGGAUGUGAAAGCCCAGGGCUCAACCUUGGAACUGCAUACGAUACUGGCAAACUAGAGUGUGAGAGAGGAUAGUGGAAUUUCCGGUGUAGCGGUGAAAUGCGUAGAUAUCGGAAGGAACAUCAGUGGCGAAGGCGACUGUCUGGCUCAACACUGACGCUGAGGUGCGAAAGCGUGGGUAGCAAACAGGAUUAGAUACCCCUGUAGUCC
rnacentral:rRNA from 1 species